AUUGAACGCUGGCGGCAGGCCUAACACAUGCAAGUCGAGCGGUAGAGAGAAGCUUGCUUCUCUUGAGAGCGGCGGACGGGUGAGUAAUGCCUAGGAAUCUGCCUGGUAGUUUGGGAUAACGUUCGGAAACGAACGCUAAUACCCCAUACGUCCUACGGUAGAAAGCAGGGGACCUUCGGGCCUUGCGCUAUCAGAUGAGCCUAGGUCGGAUUAGCUAGUUGGUGAGGUAAUGGCUCACCAAGGCGACGAUCCGUAACUGGUCUGAGAGGAUGAUCAGUCACACUGGAACUGAGACACGGUCCAGACUCCUACGGGAGGCAGCAGUGGGGAAUAUUGGACAAUGGGCGAAAGCCUGAUCCAGCCAUGCCGCGUGUGUGAAGAAGGUCUUCGGAUUGUAAAGCACUUUAAGUUGGGAGGAAGGGCAUUAACCUAAUACGUUAGUGUUUUGACGUUACCGAAAGAAUAAGCACCGGCUAACUCCGUG
rnacentral:rRNA from 1 species